AUUGAACGCUGGCGGGAGGCUUUACACAUGCAAGUCGAACGGAGUGGCGGACGGGUGAGUAAUAUAUCGGAACGUGCCCAGUAGAGGGGGAUAACUACUCGAAAGAGUGGCUAAUACCGCAUACUAUUAGAGCGGCCGAUAUGGGAUUAGCUAGUUGGUGGGGUAAAGGCUCACCAAGGCGACGAUCCCUAGCUGGUUUGAGAGGACGACCAGCCACACUGGGACUGAGACACGGCCCAGACUCCUACGGGAGGCAGCAGUGGGGAAUGUUGGACAAUGGGGGAAACCCUGAUCCAGCCAUCCCGCGUGUAUGAUGAAGGCCUUCGGGUUGUAAAGUACUUUUGGCAGGGAAGCGGUAUCUGCAGAAUAAGCACCGGCUAACUACGUGCCAGCAGCCGCGGUAAUUC
rnacentral:rRNA from 1 species